GCUACGAAUCGAAGCCCCAGUAAACGGCGGCCGUAACUAUAACGGUCCUAAGGUAGCGAAAUUCCUUGUCGGGUAAGUUCCGACCCGCACGAAAGGCGUAACGAUUUGGGCACUGUCUCAACGAGAGACUCGGUGAAAUCAUAGUACCUGUGAAGAUGCAGGUUACCCGCGACAGGACGGAAAGACCCCGUGGAGCUUUACUGUAGCCUGAUAUUGAAAUUCGGCACAGCUUGUACAGGAUAGGUAGGAGCCUUUGAAACGUGAGCGCUAGCUUACGUGGAGGCGCUGGUGGG
rnacentral:rRNA from 1 species